CUUACCACCUGACGGGUUUGCGCUG
rnacentral:snRNA from 1 species